GGCCCGAUAGCUCAGAUGGUAGAGCAGUGGACUGAAAAUCCACGUGUCGCCGGUUCAAUUCCGGCUUGGGCCACCA
rnacentral:tRNA from 3 species